rnacentral:rRNA from 1 species
CAGUAGCCACGGGAAUACGAAGGGUGCAAGCGCUACUCGGAAUUACUGGGCGUAAAGCGUGCGUAGGUGGUGGUUUAAGUCCGUUGUGAAAGCCCUGGGCUCAACCUGGGAAUUGCAGUGGAUACUGGGUCACUAGAGUGUGGUAGAGGAUAGUGGAAUUUCCGGUGUAGCAGUGAAAUGCGUAGAGAUCGGAAGGAACAUCUGUGGCGAAGGCGACUAUCUGGGCCAACACUGACACUAAGGCACGAAAGCGUGGGGAGCAAACAGGAUUAGAUACCCGGGUAGUCUCUGUCUCUUAUAC